GGUUAAGCGACUAAGCGUACACGGUGGAUGCCCUGGCAGUCAGAGGCGAUGAAGGACGUGCUAAUCUGCGAUAAGCGUCGGUAAGGUGAUAUGAACCGUUAUAACCGGCGAUUUCCGAAUGGGGAAACCCAGUGUGAUUCGUCACACUAUCAUUAACUGAAUCCAUAGGUUAAUGAGGCGAACCGGGGGAACUGAAACAUCUAAGUACCCCGAGGAAAAGAAAUCAACCGAGAUUCCCCCAGUAGCGGCGAGCGAACGGGGAGCAGCCCAGAGCCUGAAUCAGUGUGUGUGUUAGUGGAAGCGUCUGGAAAGGCGCGCGAUACAGGGUGACAGCCCCGUACACAAAAAUGCACAUGCUGUGAGCUCGAUGAGUAGGGCGGGACACGUGGUAUCCUGUCUGAAUAUGGGGGGACCAUCCUCCAAGGCUAAAUACUCCUGACUGACCGAUAGUGAACCAGUACCGUGAGGGAAAGGCGAAAAGAACCCCGGCGAGGGGAGUGAAAAAGAACCUGAAACCGUGUACGUACAAGCAGUGGGAGCACGCUUAGGCGUGUGACUGCGUACCUUUUGUAUAAUGGGUCAGCGACUUAUAUUCUGUAGCAAGGUUAACCGAAUAGGGGAGCCGAAGGGAAACCGAGUCUUAACUGGGCGUUAAGUUGCAGGGUAUAGACCCGAAACCCGGUGAUCUAGCCAUGGGCAGGUUGAAGGUUGGGUAACACUAACUGGAGGACCGAACCGACUAAUGUUGAAAAAUUAGCGGAUGACUUGUGGCUGGGGGUGAAAGGCCAAUCAAACCGGGAGAUAGCUGGUUCUCCCCGAAAGCUAUUUAGGUAGCGCCUCGUGAAUUCAUCUCCGGGGGUAGAGCACUGUUUCGGCAAGGGGGUCAUCCCGACUUACCAACCCGAUGCAAACUGCGAAUACCGGAGAAUGUUAUCACGGGAGACACACGGCGGGUGCUAACGUCCGUCGUGAAGAGGGAAACAACCCAGACCGCCAGCUAAGGUCCCAAAGUCAUGGUUAAGUGGGAAACGAUGUGGGAAGGCCCAGACAGCCAGGAUGUUGGCUUAGAAGCAGCCAUCAUUUAAAGAAAGCGUAAUAGCUCACUGGUCGAGUCGGCCUGCGCGGAAGAUGUAACGGGGCUAAACCAUGCACCGAAGCUGCGGCAGCGACACUAUGUGUUGUUGGGUAGGGGAGCGUUCUGUAAGCCUGUGAAGGUGUACUGUGAGGUAUGCUGGAGGUAUCAGAAGUGCGAAUGCUGACAUAAGUAACGAUAAAGCGGGUGAAAAGCCCGCUCGCCGGAAGACCAAGGGUUCCUGUCCAACGUUAAUCGGGGCAGGGUGAGUCGACCCCUAAGGCGAGGCCGAAAGGCGUAGUCGAUGGGAAACAGGUUAAUAUUCCUGUACUUGGUGUUACUGCGAAGGGGGGACGGAGAAGGCUAUGUUGGCCGGGCGACGGUUGUCCCGGUUUAAGCGUGUAGGCUGGUUUUCCAGGCAAAUCCGGAAAAUCAAGGCUGAGGCGUGAUGACGAGGCACUACGGUGCUGAAGCAACAAAUGCCCUGCUUCCAGGAAAAGCCUCUAAGCAUCAGGUAACAUCAAAUCGUACCCCAAACCGACACAGGUGGUCAGGUAGAGAAUACCAAGGCGCUUGAGAGAACUCGGGUGAAGGAACUAGGCAAAAUGGUGCCGUAACUUCGGGAGAAGGCACGCUGAUAUGUAGGUGAAGUCCCUCGCGGAUGGAGCUGAAAUCAGUCGAAGAUACCAGCUGGCUGCAACUGUUUAUUAAAAACACAGCACUGUGCAAACACGAAAGUGGACGUAUACGGUGUGACGCCUGCCCGGUGCCGGAAGGUUAAUUGAUGGGGUUAGCGCAAGCGAAGCUCUUGAUCGAAGCCCCGGUAAACGGCGGCCGUAACUAUAACGGUCCUAAGGUAGCGAAAUUCCUUGUCGGGUAAGUUCCGACCUGCACGAAUGGCGUAAUGAUGGCCAGGCUGUCUCCACCCGAGACUCAGUGAAAUUGAACUCGCUGUGAAGAUGCAGUGUACCCGCGGCAAGACGGAAAGACCCCGUGAACCUUUACUAUAGCUUGACACUGAACAUUGAGCCUUGAUGUGUAGGAUAGGUGGGAGGCUUUGAAGUGUGGACGCCAGUCUGCAUGGAGCCGACCUUGAAAUACCACCCUUUAAUGUUUGAUGUUCUAACGUUGACCCGUAAUCCGGGUUGCGGACAGUGUCUGGUGGGUAGUUUGACUGGGGCGGUCUCCUCCUAAAGAGUAACGGAGGAGCACGAAGGUUGGCUAAUCCUGGUCGGACAUCAGGAGGUUAGUGCAAUGGCAUAAGCCAGCUUGACUGCGAGCGUGACGGCGCGAGCAGGUGCGAAAGCAGGUCAUAGUGAUCCGGUGGUUCUGAAUGGAAGGGCCAUCGCUCAACGGAUAAAAGGUACUCCGGGGAUAACAGGCUGAUACCGCCCAAGAGUUCAUAUCGACGGCGGUGUUUGGCACCUCGAUGUCGGCUCAUCACAUCCUGGGGCUGAAGUAGGUCCCAAGGGUAUGGCUGUUCGCCAUUUAAAGUGGUACGCGAGCUGGGUUUAGAACGUCGUGAGACAGUUCGGUCCCUA
rnacentral:rRNA from 1 species